GACGAACGCUGGCGGCGUGCUUAACACAUGCAAGUCGAACGGAAAGGCCCUGCUUUUGUGGGGUGCUCGAGUGGCGAACGGGUGAGUAACACGUGAGUAACCUGCCCUUGACUUUGGGAUAACUUCAGGAAACUGGGGCUAAUACCGGAUAGGAGCUCCUGCUGCAUGGUGGGGGUUGGAAAGUUUCGGCGGUUGGGGAUGGACUCGCGGCUUAUCAGCUUGUUGGUGGGGUAGUGGCUUACCAAGGCUUUGACGGGUAGCCGGCCUGAGAGGGUGACCGGCCACAUUGGGACUGAGAUACGGCCCAGACUUCUACGGGAGGCAGCAGUGGGGAAUAUUGCACAAUGGGCGGAAGCCUGAUGCAGCAACGCCGCGUGCGGGAUGACGGCCUUCGGGUUGUAAACCGCUUUCGCCUGUGACGAAGCGUGAGUGACGGUAAUGGGUAAAGAAGCACCGGCUAACUACGU
rnacentral:rRNA from 1 species